rnacentral:lncRNA from 1 species
ACAAGACAAAACAAAGAAAAGAAGAAAAUCAUCAGUACAUGCAGAUUUCUACACUUCUUAUGCAGAUUCUUUUCAUGCUCAACUUUUGUAUGAUAAUAGACUAUCCAUUGAAUAUUUUUAGCUGGAUUUUAUACAAUUUUUAGAGGUAGCACUAGCACCCCACACUUCAGCUGUUCCCGAGAAGGCACGAAGCUCUCCUAGCCUUCCCCUUGAUUUCCCGGUGC